UGGGGAAUAUUGCACAAUGGGCGCAAGCCUGAUGCAGCGACGCCGCGUGAGGGAUGACGGCCUUCGGGUUGUAAACCUCUUUCAGCAGGGAAGAAGCGAAAGUGACGGUACCUGCAGAAGAAGCGCCGGCUAACUACGUGCCAGCAGCCGCGGUAAUACGUAGGGCGCGAGCGUUGUCCGGAAUUAUUGGGCGUAAAGAGCUUGUAGGCGGUUUGUUGCGUCUGCUGUGAAAGACCGGGGCUUAACCCCGGUAUUGCAGUGGGUACGGGCAGACUAUAGUGCAGUAGGGGAAACUGGAAUUCCUGGUGUAACGGUGAAAUGCGCAGGAAUCAGGAAGAACACCGAUGGCGAAGGCAGGUCUCUGGGCUGUAACUGACGCUGAAAAACGAAAGCACGGGGAGCGAACAGGAUUAAAUACCCUGGUAGUCCAUGCCGUAAACGUUGGGCACUAAGUGUGGGGGACAUUCCACGUUUUCCGCGCCGUAACUAACGCAUUAAGUGCCCCGCCUGGGGAGUACGGCCGCAAGGCUA
rnacentral:rRNA from 1 species